GUGUGGACGGAGUGUGGCACAGUGGGUAAGGAACUGCGCUUGUAACCGAAAGGUCGCAGGUUCGAUUCCCGGGUAAGGACACUGCCGUUGUACCCUUGAGCAAGGUACUUAACCUGCAUUGCUUCAGUAUAUAUCCAGCUGUAUAAAUGGAUACAAUGUAAAGUGCUAUGUAAAAAAAGUUGUGUAAGUCGCUCUGGAUAAGAGCGUCUGCUAAAUGCCUGUAAUGUCUAUUGUGAUGUUAUGUUUUAACUGAUUUUGUAUCAGCUAAUGUUUGAAUGUACCAGCGCUGUAUAUGUUUUGGAAUAUAGCUAUAUUGUGACAGGGUGAAGUUCAUCCUAACCUGAGGAGAGUGAGUUUUCACGCCAAAAAAGGUGAAUACGUGGUUGCGUAGCUGCGGCAGGCUGAGUUUUUGGCCCGCGGCCCAGAGUGACUAAUUAUUUUCACGGCUGGUUAUUUGGUCGUGUGGACCUGAGAAGCGCAUAUCGUGUCUGUGUUUUCAUGUCCCGGGGAGAGUGAGUUUUUGCGCCCCGGCUCAGAGUUAAAGACAAGGGAGUGUCUCUAACUUGAGUAUCUGUGAGUACGUUACCGCGGCAGGUUGACAUUUCAACCCGCGGUCCAAUGUGACAAACUAUUUUCAUAUCUUGGGUAGUAGGUUUAGAAAUACCUGCGAAGGGUACUCUUGUCUGCGUUUUUAUGUCCCGGGGAGAGUGAGUUUUUGCGCCUUGGCCUAGAGUGAGAGACAAGGGAGUAGUCUCUCACUUAGGUUUUUGUGAGUUUGUGCUGAGGCAGGCUGAGUCUUUGGCCCUCAGUCCAGGGGACAAAGGUUGUACCGUACCUGGAGUAUUAGGUGCUAUUAUAGCCGCUUUUCCUAAGAAGCUUACUCGUGUCCGACGUGAAUCACGUCAUUGUUGUGUUUUCGAUACUGUUUUGGGUCAUUAUUGUUGCGUUUGAUACUGUUCUGAGUCUUUAUUGUUUCGUGUUCGUAUUGUUCGUGAUCGUAUGUUAAGUGUUGGCCAGUAACGCGCAUUUAUAAUUAUAUAUUAUUAUAUCUAGAUACAGAGUUAGAUGAAUAAUGUGGAUCCUUAAAAAGUCUUAUGUCCUAAAUAAGAUUUUCGGCAUUUAAGAUCUUAAAAAGCAUUAAAUUUGAUUCCAAAAAAUAUGCAGCAAUGUAUGUUUGUUAUAUGAAGUGCACACAAUAUAGUCGACAGAAUAUAUAACCUAAGUAAUAUAAUAGAAUGAUCAUAGAUAGUAGUAUAAACUGAUUGAGGUUCCGGUCUAAUAGCCUACGGACUGCGGACACUAUAUGAGCCUGAAAUAAUGGAGUAAGGUUAAAAGAAUUUAUGAUACAAUAGUAACACACAUAGAAAUGUCUCCUAUAUUCUGUGUAAUAUGAUAAAGUACAAGACACAUACUUUACUUGCCCUUAGCAACUCUAUUACACACAGGGAUGUAGCUACAGACAAGUAUUUUAUACCCAUGUACUAGCUGUUUAUUGUUAAUAAUGACUAAUCUACAGAUCUCUGAAGAGUUUUUCAAUUGUGGGGACUAAAAAUGAUGAAAGAGAGGUUAAGUGAAGAAGGUUAGGAAGGCUGCUAUGUGUUCUCUGCUAGGGAACAAGGUGAGAAUGGGCCUUUAGAGAUACGCUGCUGUAUUUAGCUUAUGGUAAUUCAGGGAAUGAAUUGAGUAGAGACAGUGGUGAUUUCCUGACUGUGGCAAUUGAUGGUAGUCUUCCCAUUUUUAGAAACAAAGCAUUGUGGAGAAAUUGGUUAAGCUUUGAGAGAUCGUAGUGAUCUAUUGGGCAUGGGCUGCAUAUAUAUUUUACGAAAUAGCAUAAGGACGUGGACACCAUAAGCCCCUAAAUAUUCUUAAUUUAUGAGCCCAAGAUAAGGGAGUAACAAUAAAUAAAUAAAUACAUUUUUUUAAAAAGGUAGCACAAAUAUGAUUGACCCCUAGUGGCAGAUCCUAACGCCAUCCUUUCCACUGUUUCUCAUAUAAAAUUCACGCUGAGCACUGUUGGCUUCAAGCUGACACUCAGGUAAUAGAUUGUUUUUACUUCUCAAAGUAGCAUCUUGCAUGAGACUUAAUACCGUUAAUACCGUGAAUGUACCUGUGGGAGAUUCCUGACUAGUGCAGGAACCCCCAAUACAACAUGGGGGAUUGGUACAAGAAACCAACUAAUCAAUUCAAACUGACUAAUCAUUUGUUCUCCAUUUUAGGAUAAGACUGGGUGACAUAGCCACCAGCGGUGCUCCUCUCCGUGAAAGCGGGACCGAGUAAUUAACACCCAGUAAUUAACAUUUGCUUCCACCCUUUGAUCCUUACAGGUCGACACAUGAGGACUCCUGGUGAUUUUGGUGGGGAAUUGCAUGUAAUGAGUGACCGUUUGAGUGAAUAUUGCAGGCUUGUGUCCCAAGUGUCUUUCACAGGAUCACAGAACUGGACCUGACCCAGCUGAGGACAAAGAAACAUGCCUGGUUGAACCUGGAUCCUGGUGAAAAACAUAAUCGGAUGACAUUUUAUCCAAAUUUGGUCUGGACCACACAGGUUCACGAUUCCAUCAACUGCUUCCAGUGACUGGAACUCCGGUGUGGUUCCGCAUUAAAUAGUUAGGAAAAUACAAGGGUGAGACCCAACAUGGGGCACAAUAAUCCCCGUCUACCCUUAUAGCCCCUGGGGGCUAUCUAUCUCUCCAUUCAGACACAUAUUUCCAGGACAAGAUGUGCACCAACGCGGCAGGCGGAAGUUGGAUCUGGAUGAUGGCCUCACAAAAGUCAUUUUUAAUGUUGUACAUUUUUGGUGUUCUGUUGUAAUGUUAUACUUUUUGUUUUGUUGUAAUGUUGUAUAUACUCUGAAUGUGAAAGGUAGCCACUGGGUCCAUAGCGAAUGGCACAAUAUUGGUGACAAAAGGAGGACUACUUUCUAACCAAACUACUCAAUGCCUAACAUUUCCUACUGCACUAAUCCAACUGACACCUCUACCACUAUCUCUAUUCUAAUCACUCCUGAUGUCACCAGUAAACACCUCUGUUCCAGCACUUGAUAGCUGGGUGUUAAACC